UGAGGAAUAUUGGGCAAUGCCCGCAAGGGUGACCCAGCAACGCCGCGUGAAGGAUGAAGGCCGUAAGGUUGUAAACUUCUGUUAGAGGGGACGAAUAGCUUCGAUCAAAUCGAAGUCUGACGGUACCCUCAGAGAAAGCCCCGGCUAACUACGUGCCAGCAGCCGCGGUAAUACGUAGGGGGCAAGCGUUGUCCGGAUUUACUGGGUGUAAAGGGCGCGUAGGCGGCUAUAUAAGUCAGUGGUGAAAUCCUGCGGCUCAACUGCAGAACUGCCAUUGAUACUGUAUAGCUUGAAUGUGGAAGAGAGAGACGGAAUUCCAGGUGUAGUGGUGAAAUACGUAGAUAUCUGGAAGAACACCAGUUGCGAAGGCGGUCUCUUGGUCCAUUAUUGACGCUGAGGCGCGAAAGCGUGGGUAGCAAACAGG
rnacentral:rRNA from 1 species